rnacentral:lncRNA from 1 species
AGAGAAGGCACAUGCUUACCUUCUGAGUACUGAGCAAACAUUGAAAACAAAUGGAAACAUCCAACUAGUGAAUCCAUUUCUUCAGGGCAGAAGCUGGCACAUUGCUCUCAUGUUGAGGAUGACAAAGUUCCUGUUCUGAGAGAAAAAGCUGAGCUUUCGGUUAGAUGUGGAACCAUGGCCUGCGUACUUUAUUAAUGUAGUUCCUACGGAAGGUAGUUUGUGGUUAGUGGAAAAUUUGCACACAAGAGAGUGAGGCCUAGUGGUGCUGGCGCUGCACAGAGCAGAGCAGACAGACUCAGCUGUCACACGUGAAAUAAAUAAAUAAAAACAUGCUGAGAGAAGAUACAUAACCAGCAAGCAGUACAUAGGAGAGUGCAAGCAAAUCUCAGGGAAUCCUGGCUGCGAGACUCUUUUGGAACCAGUGGAGCUGCCAAGCUUGUGUGAUCACUUUUCUUUCUGCAGCUGCUGUGGUGGGAAGCUUAGAAAUAUUUAAGGCACUGGUAUAAAUGUAUUGAUACAAGUGACUACAG